CAUGGCUGUUAGAGUUGAUCCAGAAGUAGGACUGAUGGACUGGGAGGUGCUGCCAUUCCGGUAGCAGCUGGUUAGUAGCUGCUGCUAGUGGUGAUGAAGAAGGGUACCUUGCUACUUCGGCCAGGCUGGCUUGCCUGCUUUACGUGUGGCAAUUGGCAGGGAUGGCUGGCCCCUUUUCCACAAGAGUUACUUCCCAAAUGAUGGCUGUAAGGAAGAAUGGUGAUCCAGGCCAAGGGUUUUAUGUCAAUAUCUGAGACCAGAGCUCCUUUAUAACAAAGUUGAAUAUGUU